rnacentral:rRNA from 1 species
GAUGAACGCUGGCGGCGUGCCUAAUACAUGCAAGUCGAGCGAACAGACGAGGAGCUUGCUCCUCUGACGUUAGCGGCGGACGGGUGAGUAACACGUGGAUAACCUACCUAUAAGACUGGGAUAACUUCGGGAAACCGGAGCUAAUACCGGAUAAUAUAUUGAACCGCAUGGUUCAAUAGUGAAAGACGGUUUUGCUGUCACUUAUAGAUGGAUCCGCGCCGCAUUAGCUAGUUGGUAAGGUAACGGCUUACCAAGGCAACGAUGCGUAGCCGACCUGAGAGGGUGAUAGGCCACAAUGGAACUGAGACACGGUCAAGACUCCUAAGGGAGGCAGCAGUAGGGAAUCGUCCGCAAUGGGCGAAAGCCUGACGGAGCAACGCCGCGUGAGUGAUGAAGGUCUUCGGAUCGUAAAACUCUGUUAUUAGGGAAGAACAAAUGUGUAAGUAACUAUGCACGUCUUGACGGUAACUAAUCAGAAAGCCACGGCUAACUACGUG